rnacentral:rRNA from 1 species
AGCGAAUAGAUACCCAGGUAGUCCCAGCCGUAAACGAUGCUCGCUAGGUGUCAGGCAUGGCGCGACCGUGUCUGGUGCCGCAGGGAAGCCGUGAAGCGAGCCACCUGGGAAGUACGGCCGCAAGGCUGAAACUUAAAGGAAUUGGCGGGGGAGCACAACAACGGGUGGAGCCUGCGGUUUAAUUGGACUCAACGCCGGACAACUCACCGGGGGCGACAGCAAUAUGUAGGCCAAGCUGAAGACUUUGCCUGAAUCGCUGAGAGGAGGUGCAUGGCCGUCGCCAGUUCGUACUGUGAAGCAUCCUGUUAAGUCAGGCAACGAGCGAGACCCGGUGCCCACUGUUACCAGCAUGUCCUCCGGGGACGAUGGGUACUCUGUGGGGACCGCCGAUGUUAAACUCGGAGGAAGGUGCGGGCCACGGUAGGUCAGUAUGCCUCGAAUCUCCCGGGGCUACACGCGGGCUACAAUGGAUGGGACAAUGGGUCCUCCCCGUGAAAAC